GCCCGUUUAGCUCAGUGGUAGAGCGCGCCAGCACUGAGCCCAACGCAAUGGUGAGGUCGGUUGUUCAAUCCAGCCAAUGGGCA